UCCAAUUUAUUUAUAAGAAUUAAACACAAAUACACGUAAAAAUGUGGACACUGGACAGGUAGUUUGCGACGAUGAGAGGAUUACAAACGGAAGAAUCUGCAGACCCGAUCGUUUACUUGCCUAGGAUUCGUUCUGAGGUUUUCUCUUCUUCGCCGUCGUCUUCAUCUCCGAUCAAUCUAGAGAAACAAAAAAAAUCAGAGUAAUAAAAGAGAAGCACCAAAGGUCCAAAAGUAGUAAUCAGUGUAGGGAGUCCUGGACGGCUGGACCUGUAAGAGCAAUGGUUAAACUUAGUUCCAACGUCGAAGAAACAAUCAAGAUCGUCGUGGAUAAGUGUUGCGAAGAAGGACGAACAUCUAAACUCGAUCGAGAUUCCGCUUUUGAAUUGCAUCAGUCACAUUUCAGCAUCCAGUUCCAGUGUUUGGAAAAAAGAGAAAUAAUAGAAGAAUUAGGAAGUAGAAGCUUCUACAUGAGAAAGAAAGCUCAUGAACAAAAUGAUGGUUUGUUACCCGGAAUCAGUGCCGGCCCGACAUUAACAAGUGCCCUACGCAAAAAAAAAAAAAUACCCUUUUUUGUGCUUUAGUUGCUUUAAAAUUUUAAGUUUUCUAUAAAAGCCCACAAUUUUAAAGGCUUUUCACAUAUCUAACAAAAACAAAAGAUAUUUUACAUAUAAAUAUUUAGCUCUUAUACAUAUCUCAUCCAAAAAAAAAAGACCUUAUUGUUUAAAAGAUUUAUAUGUAAAAAGGCCUUCAAAAUUAGAGGCCCGAAGCUUCCCCUGUGGGCCGGGCCAGCCCGGGAUUGCAACGGUGAGAACUAGCCUUAUUCCGUCGUCGAAUUUGAUCGGAUCGUGCAUCGCUCAGUUCAUUGGG